AGAGAGUGUCUGCAGUCAAUCUCCAUGCACAGAAAGGCACCACCCAAGGAGAGCGAGCCACCAGGUGAAGGCCAAGAAGUGACCCUGGUGCUGAGGCCAGUACCCAAACAGGCUAUGCUGCUGGAGCAGCUAUAGCACAUUUUAGGUUUGUAAUCAAAGGAGCUGUUUGGGAAUGGCCUUGGGGAGCAGCCUGCUGCAGAACCAGCAUCAGAGCAAGCACAGGUGCCUAGGCAAACAGACAGCCUGGGGGAGUAGACCCACCUACUGCAAGCAAAGAGAAAGAGUCCAAGGUGAGCUGAUGGGAGAGUUGCGAGAUAAAAUGAAUUGGCAAAUAAGAGUUCCAGAAGGGCCAAAUGGACGAAAGGACAAUGAUGCAAGAAGGGCGGCGAGAGAGGCUGCACAGUGUGAGGAGAUAUUGGUAGAUGGAUUCAUGGAGCAUGACUGCCACGUGGGGGAGGAAACAGAGUGCAGUAGAAAGCUGUUUGAGCUAUUACCUGUGCUCAGGGUUACCGGACUGUGGGCUCUAGGGCAACCUUCAGCUCCUGCUCCCGCCCAAUGCCCUGAGUACCUUCCAUGCUAUCAUGUGCUGCAGACUAUGCAGCCUUUUGUCAAUUCAGAGGAUGGCUGGACUAUGUCACAGGCAAAGAUUACUAGCACGUGGAAUUAAAAAAAAGGUACCCUCUGCACUCAUUGACCCAGUCCAGCUGUGGCCUGUUCACUGGGUCCACUCACUGCUAGGGGAGCCUCCUCCUUGCCACACAGGGGAUCAGUCCUUUCUGGGUCCAGUGCCCCCUUUCGCUGCUUGCUGCACGACCUACCGUCUCUCUCCCACUCUCUGUGACUCAGGGUGCUCUGUCUUUGUGGCUUGGCCCUCUGGCCAGGUCACUAUGGUCCUGCCCUACAGGGGUAUCAAAGUCUUUCCUUACAAAUGGUCUCAGGGAGCCUUCUCAUUCACUGCCCUGACAGUGCCACUUCCCCAGUGGCUGUUAGGGGAAUCUAGGCCCUGUCUCCGUUCCAGUUUCCAGCUCAGGGUCCCUCUAAUCAGCAACCAUGGUCUGCACCAUCCUCAGCCUUGCUGCCUUUUCCCUGAAUCUUUCCUACACCUUCUGGCUCCCCCACUCUCUGGGUUUGCCAGCCCAAACUGCAGACUAAAUUCCAUAUCCCCAAACACACCUCCCUUCCCCCAGGCACUGACUACAGACCACUUCCCCGCAUUCUCUUUCUGCCAACAGCUCCCUGGCUUUAUAGAAGUCUUGCCUGUUUUCUCCAGCUGGGCUCCAUCAUUAAGGCUUUCCUGUCAGCCUACCUAUCCCCCUGCUUUCUUGCAACCUUAUAGGUUAAGUGGCCCCUCUGGCCUACAUUAACCCCUUCAGGGAGAGUAUGGGGAACACUCCUUAUCAUACCUGCACAUACAAAACACACAAGGAAGGCCAAGGGGAACAGAGGGGACUCCCAGGAAUAGCUGGACAUGUUAUUUGAGAACCUGAACCUUUCAUUAUUUUGGUACUGAGUUUGUUUAUUAAGCUCUGUUUUGAUGGAAACUGGUCUGUGCUUUGAGUUCUUAGGCUGGUAAGUAAAUACCUAUAUAAAAUACACGGUUGAUUUUACACAAGGCUAUAACAACAAGUUUUAUUAUUUGUAAUGUUAAAAGUGGCACCAACUGUAAAGAAUGUCAUCACAUGCCCUUCUCAAUAUUUUUCGUAAUAAAAAUGUAUACACUGUCAUCAUCAUAAUCCAUAAACUGAGUUUAUGGCCAGUAGUGAUCAGAUUUAUGAAGAUGUUAUC